ensembl:lncRNA
UAGGGCUCAAGCCUGGAGGGCGAGAGCCCUAUUGUUUUCCUUAGGAUUAUUUUUUACUUUAAUUAGGGCCCGAGCACCGAUGGUGUGAGGACCCUAUUGUAUCUGCUUUGUUUAUUAGGGCCCGAGCACCGAUGGUGUGAGGACCCUCUUGUAUCUGCUUUGUUUAUUAUUAUUAUUAUUAUUCUUCUUCUUCUUCUUCUUCUUCUUCUUCUUCUUCUCCAAAAUGAAUCGCAUUUUUGAGGGCCUAAACAUGCUCGAAAAGUCCUGAAACUUUGCACACGCGUCAGACCUGGUGAAAAUUUACGUCUGAUAUAGGUUUCAGAAGAGGGUGUGGCAAAAUGUCUCGACAGCGCCACCUACCGUAAAAAAAUCAACAGCCCUCGAGCUGUGUUUCAC